rnacentral:sRNA from 1 species
GGGAAAAUGCGGCUGCCGAGUCAGGGUCUGAGUCCUCGUCCCAGGAGGCCACCCCUGAGAAAGAGUCCCUGGCCGAGUCGGCAGCCGCCUACACCAAGGCAACAGCGCGGAAGUGUUUGUUGGAAAAAGUGGAAGUCAUCACCGGGGAGGAGGCGGAGAGCAACGUGUUACAGAUGCAGUGCAAGCUGUUUGUCUUCGACAAGACCUCACAGUCCUGGGUGGAGAGAGGCCGGGGGCUGCUCAGACUCAAUGACAUGGCGUCCACCGACGACGGCACACUACAGUCCCGACUAGUGAUGCGGACCCAGGGGAGCCUGCGACUGAUCCUCAACACCAAGUUGUGGGCCCAGAUGCAGAUCGACAAGGCCAGCGAGAAGAGCAUCCGCAUCACAGCCAUGGACACCGAGGACCAGGGCGUGAAGGUCUUCCUGAUCUCGGUGAGCCAGCCACGCGGGUGCAUCUGGGACCCCUCAUCCUGCCAGCCAUGUGGGGGUUCCUGGGCACACAGAUCAGGCAGGACGGUGGGGAGG